rnacentral:rRNA from 1 species
GACGAACGCUGGCGGCGUGCCUAAUACAUGCAAGUAGAACGCUGAAGAGAGGAGCUUGCUCUUCUUGGAUGAGUUGCGAACGGGUGAGUAACGCGUAGGUAACCUGCCUUGUAGCGGGGGAUAACUAUUGGAAACGAUAGCUAAUACCGCAUAACAAUGGAUGACACAUGUCAUUUAUUUGAAAGGGGCAAUUGCUCCACUACAAGAUGGACCUGCGUUGUAUUAGCUAGUAGGUGAGGUAAUGGCUCACCUAGGCGACGAUACAUAGCCGACCUGAGAGGGUGAUCGGCCACACUGGGGCUGAGACACGGCCCAGACUCCUACGGGAGGCAGCAGUAGGGAAUCUUCGGCAAUGGGGGCAACCCUGACCGAGCAACGCCGCGUGAGUGAAGAAGGUUUUCGGAUCGUAAAGCUCUGUUGUAAGUCAAGAACGGGUGUGAGAGUGGAAAGUUCACACUGUGACGGUAGCUUACCAGAAAGGGACGGCUAACUACGUGCCAGCAGCCGCGGUAAUACGUAGGUCCCGAGCGUUGUCCGGAUUUAUUGGGCGUAAAGCGAGCGCAGGCGGUUUGAUAAGUCUGAAGUUAAAGGCUGUGGCUCAACCAUAGUUCGCUUUGGAAACUGUCAAACUUGAGUGCAGAAGGGGAGAGUGGAAUUCCAUGUGUAGCGGUGAAAUGCGUAGAUAUAUGGAGGAACACCGGUGGCGAAAGCGGCUCUCUGGUCUGUAACUGACGCUGAGGCUCGAAAGCGUGGGGAGCGAACAGGAUUAGAUACCCUGGUAGUCCACGCCGUAAACGAUGAGUGCUAGGUGUUGGAUCCUUUCCGGGAUUCAGUGCCGCAGCUAACGCAUUAAGCACUCCGCCUGGGGAGUACGACCGCAAGGUUGAAACUCAAAGGAAUUGACGGGGGCCCGCACAAGCGGUGGAGCAUGUGGUUUAAUUCGAAGCAACGCGAAGAACCUUACCAGGUCUUGACAUCCCGAUGCUAUUUCUAGAGAUAGAAAGUUACUUCGGUACAUCGGUGACAGGUGGUGCAUGGUUGUCGUCAGCUCGUGUCGUGAGAUGUUGGGUUAAGUCCCGCAACGAGCGCAACCCCUAUUGUUAGUUGCCAUCAUUCAGUUGGGCACUCUAGCGAGACUGCCGGUAAUAAACCGGAGGAAGGUGGGGAUGACGUCAAAUCAUCAUGCCCCUUAUGACCUGGGCUACACACGUGCUACAAUGGUUGGUACAACGAGUUGCGAGUCGGUGACGGCGAGCUAAUCUCUUAAAGCCAAUCUCAGUUCGGAUUGUAGGCUGCAACUCGCCUACAUGAAGUCGGAAUCGCUAGUAAUCGCGGAUCAGCACGCCGCGGUGAAUACGUUCCCGGGCCU